GACGAACGCUGGCGGCGUGCUUAACACAUGCAAGUCGAACGGAAAGGCCCUGCUUUUGUGGGGUGCUCGAGUGGCGAACGGGUGAGUAACACGUGAGUAACCUGCCCUUGACUUUGGGAUAACUUCAGGAAACUGGGGCUAAUACCGGAUAGGAGCUCCUGCUGCAUGGUGGGGGUUGGAAAGUUUCGGCGGUUGGGGAUGGACUCGCGGCUUAUCAGCUUGUUGGUGGGGUAGUGGCUUACCAAGGCUUUGACGGGUAGCCGGCCUGAGAGGGGGACCGGCGACAAUGGGACUAAGAGACGGCGCAGUCGCCUACGGGAGGCAGCAGUGGGAAGUAUUGCACAGUGGGCGGAAGUCUGAUGCAGCAACGCCGCGUUCGUGAUGACGGCCUUCGGGUUGUAAACCGCUUUCGCCUGUGACGAAGCGUGAGUGACGGUAAUGGGUAAAGAAGCACCGGCUAACUACGUG
rnacentral:rRNA from 1 species